rnacentral:rRNA from 1 species
AUGGCUGUCGUCAGCUCGUGUUGUGAAAUGUUGGGUUAAGUCCCGCAACGAGCGCAACCCUUAUCCUUUGUUGCCAGCGGUCCGGCCGGGAACUCAAAGGAGACUGCCAGUGAUAAACUGGAGGAAGGUGGGGAUGACGUCAAGUCAUCAUGGCCCUUACGACCAGGGCUACACACGUGCUACAAUGGCAUAUACAAAGAGAAGCGACCUCGCGAGAGCAAGCGGACCUCAUAAAGUAUGUCGUAGUCCGGAUUGGAGUCUGCAACUCGACUCCAUGAAGUCGGAAUCGCUAGUAAUCGUAGAUCAGAAUGCUACGGUGAAUACGUUCCCGGGCCUUGUACACACCGCCCGUCACACCAUGGGAGUGGGUUGCAAAAGAAGUAGGUAGCUUAACCUUCGGGAGGGCGCUUACCACUUUGUGAUUCAUGACUGGGGUGAAGUCGUAACAAGGUAACCGUAGGGGAACCUGCGGUUGGAUCACCUCCUUA